AUACUUAGCUGGCAGGGGAGAUACCAUGAUCACGAAGGUGGUUUUACCACGGCGAGAUUUAUCCAUUGCAAUCUGGAUGUGUUUUCCCCUGUGAUUUCCCCAAAUGUGGGAACGCAACUGCAUAAUUUGUGGUAAUGGGAAAGUACAUUCAUGCUCUCCCCUU
rnacentral:snRNA from 1 species